rnacentral:rRNA from 1 species
AACGAACGCUGGCGGCAGGCUUAACACAUGCAAGUCGAACGGAAAGGCCCUGCUUUUUUGGGGUGCUGGAGGGGCGAACGGGUGAGUAACACGUGAGUAACCUGCCCUUGACUUUGGGAUAACUUCAGGAAACUGGGGCUAAUACCGGAUAGGAUCUCCUGCUGCAUGGUGGGGGUGGGAAAGUUUCGGCGGUUGGGGAUGGACGCGCGGCUUAUCAGCUUGUUGGUGGGGUAGUGGCUUACCAAGGCUUUGACGAGUAGCCGGCCUGAGAGGGUGACCGGCCACAUUGGGACUGAGAUACGGCCCAGACUCCUACGGGAGGCAGCAGUGGGGAAUAUUGCACAAUGGGAGGAAGCCUGAUGCAGCAACGCCGCGUGCGGGAUGACGGCCUUCGGGUUGUAAACCGCUUUCGCCUGUGACGAAGCGUGAGUGACGGUAAUGGGUAAAGAAGCACCGGCUAACUACGUG